AAGAUAUUAGAUAGUAGAUGGGACUCUUCCAAGAAUCGCUGCAAAGGAAGGAAAGGAAGACACCUCCCCUCGUAUAAUUAUAAAACCGUUUGCUGACAGCGCCAAGCGAUUCUUUUUUCUCUGUCUUUUCCCUAAUUCUAACCACCGCCCUCCUCCCUUGCCCCACCCGAAACCACUGUCCACCACCCCCUUCACAGGCAUAAGUAACGAUAGCUAUAUUGAUUGAAUUAUUUAUGCCUUUGAUUAUCAACAGGUUUUUGUUUUCCUUCGUCUCUGUUUCUUCAAAGAUUUCAGUGCCGUGAAGUUCAGUCAACAUCAUUUUAUGGCUCCUAGUGCUUUGUUUGGGACAGGGCUGCAUUCUUCCUGUUGAGGCCCUUUUUCCUCCUGUGCCACAGCCUGGUUAGUGGAUCAGUAUGCUUGCUGGGAUGUCAGCAGGAGAAAAUGUACAUGACUGUGUUGAGGAAUCCUCUGCAGUGAACUCAACUUUUAGUCUUGAAGAAUUAUCCACCCUUCAGCAAUCGUGUGGAACCUUUUCUAUGCGAGAUGAUGAUUCAUCUAAGAGAGUGGAUGUAGAAGAUCUUUCAGGGGCCGAUGAAGUAGUUGCUGCUUUUCAGUCUUUCUGCAUUGAUAAUUCAUCUUUGAUGAGAGAUCAGGAAGCAAAAGAUACUGCAAAAGUGGAUUAUAGUGCAGAAUCAUCUGUAUUGAGGAAUGAUGAAAGAGAGGAUGCUUUGAAUGCUAAUUUUCCUUUAGAUUCAUAUCCAAUAGGGGAUGAAAGAAAAGCUAUAACUAGAGUUGAUGACAAUUCUAAUACAUGUCCAGAUAUCACAUGCUCUUCUCCUUGUCGGAGGAGCAGCCGGAGGAACAGACUAGACCAGGAAAACAAGAAAAAGGGACCAGAAAGAGACUGCAGGAAAACCUCCAGCAAGAGUGCAUUUUUAGAUGUGAGCUCUGUGCAGCUUACUAGGAGGAGACGAAGUUCUUUGAGCAAACAGGCUCGUGCUACUGUAUGGGGUUUACUAGGAAACAUGUCAGUACUAGAGCAGAAUGGUGCAGUUGAUAUAAGUCCACAGAAGGCUAAAAAGUCAAGAAGACUUAAAGGAGUUGGAGCCAAUGGGAAGCGAGAAAAGAACAAGAAAGCUCGAGACUCUACAAAGCUUAAGGGAAAAAGAUUCAACCCAACUGGUCCCAUCACUUUGAAGGUUAAAUUUGGCAGUAGAGAAGCAGCUUCCUUGGUGAACGCUAGCACUGUAAUGGAUGAUAAUAAAGAGCAGGAUUCCAGACAAGAAUCUUUUCCUGAAGUAUCCAUAGAUGUUCAAGAUUUAAUGAAGAAAGAGGCUGAUGGUAGUAUGAGUUUUCAGUCUUGUGAUGGAACCUUGGAUAAAGCAUCAGAUAUCCAUGUUGCAAUUGAGGAUAUAACUGAAAAUGCGGGUGGAAAUGCUUAUGGUGAUCUUUGUGAAUCUCCCUUUCAUGCUGAGGUUGGUAAAGUGGUAGCAACAAUUGAUAACCGCAUCUCAGAUUCAGGAACUUCACCUGAUUCAGAAGUCAUCAAUUUAACUCCAGAUGCACAAAUUAGUGAAAAGGAUCCAGAUGCCCUUCAUCACACUGUGAGCUCAAUCAAUGCAUAUCUUGCCUCUGAAAAUAUGUCUAAUUCGAGUUUGCUUUGCAAGGAUGCUGAUGAAGGAAAGAGGGAAAAUGACCCUCAGACCAGCAAUUUCAGUGUAAAUGUCGAAGCUCCUGGUCCAGAAAACCUUGUUGAUGAUCAAGAAUUCUCUAAGCUUGGACAGAAGGAGAAAGUGGGUGAUGUCUUUUAUCAUAGUGAUGCUUCUACGUCAACGACAACUGAAAAUGCAUAUCUUAACACAUUCGAAGUGGAUGGGUUACCCAAAGAACCUCCUUGUUCGAAGGUGACUGACUUCGCAAUCUCUAGUGAGACGAAUAAAGUUGAAAGUGCAAUACAAGCCAAUCUUUCUCCAAGACUUGGUACUGAGAUUGGGCCAGUAGAGUCAAGUAAGUCUAAGAAACUGCUUCCUUGCACCAAUGGGAAAAAAGUUGCCAGAAGUUCAAGAGCAAGGAAAGAGACCAGGACAAAGAGAGAGAAAACAUCUAAAACGAAGGGCAGUCAAGAGAAAUCAUCUGCAAAGCAAAAAGGCAAGGACAAAGGAUUGAAGGGUGACUCUGCUCAGACUCUUCAUGAAGUAGAAAAUCACUGUGAAACAGAAGCUGGAGAAACUGGCAUUGGAAAUAAAAGCUUGACAGAAGAUACACCCCCUAAAGAUAUGGCUCCUGUCAUGGUUGCACAGGAAUGUAUACCAAUCACUCAGGCUUGGGUAUGUUGUGAUGGUUGUAACAAGUGGAGGCGCAUUCCAGCUGCACUUGCUGAUAUAAUCAGAGAAAAUGACUGCAAAUGGUAUUGCAAGGAUAAUAUGGAUAAAGAUUUUGCUGACUGCUCAAUUCCACAAGAGAAGUCCAAUGCAGAUAUCAAUGCUGAGUUGCAAAUAUCUGAUGCCUCUUGUGAGGAAGAUGCAGAUUCUGAUGCACGGUUGGAUUCCAUUAAAUCAACACAGAAGCAGCGGAAAGUAACUCAACAGCCUUCAUGGACGCACAUAAAGUCAAAUUCGUUCCUUCAUCGCCGGCGCAAAACUCAGGCAAUUGAUGAGAUAAUGGUAUGCCAUUGCAAACCACCUUCAGAAGGCCGAGUGGGUUGUGGAGAUGGAUGCUUGAACCGGAUGCUUAACAUUGAGUGCAUUCAAGGGACCUGCCCUAGUGGCGAAUUCUGUUCAAAUCAACAGUUCCAGAAACGCAAGUAUGCAAAGUUGAAGGCCAUUAAAUGUGGAAAGAAGGGUUAUGGUUUACAAUUGCUUGAAGAAGUUUCUGAAGGGCAGUUUCUUAUAGAAUAUGUUGGAGAGGUUCUUGAUAUGCAUGCCUACGAGGCGCGGCAAAGGGAGUAUGCUGUUAAGGGUCAUAGGCAUUUUUACUUCAUGACACUGAAUGGCAGUGAGGUAAUUGAUGCAUGUGCAAAAGGAAAUUUGGGUCGUUUCAUAAAUCACAGCUGUGAGCCCAAUUGCCGUACAGAAAAAUGGAUGGUAAAUGGAGAAGUUUGCAUUGGGAUCUUUGCUUUAAGGGAUAUAAAGAAGGGUGAAGAGGUUACAUUUGAUUACAACUAUGUACGGGUUUUUGGUGCUGCAGCAAAAAAAUGUGUGUGUGGUUCAUCUCAGUGUCGGGGGUAUAUUGGUGGUGAUCCACUGAAUGCUGAAAUAGUUGUCCAGGAUGACUCAGAUGAUGAAUAUCCAGAACCUAUUAUGGCACGUGGAGAUGGAAUAGCUCUGACGAGCUCUCACACUGAGGAAGAAAAGCAAAUUAGAGAGAUGUCAAAUCAAGCUAAAAUUGACAUUGAUUGCUCAUCCACUGCUGCUGGAUGCUUAGAGAACACAAAGGAAAAUGGAGACACCAAGUUAUCUGCAUCCACUGCUUUGAGUGUUGCAAUAUCACUGGAAAAGGAGAGUUCAGUUGGACAGCAUUCCCCUGUUCAGCUAGUGGGUACUUCCUCAGAGUCUGGUGGUAUAACAGGUGGAAAUAUCUCUGCAGCUCCUGAAGAGUGCUUUGCAAGAGAAACUAGUGUGGGCAAUCCCCUGUGCUCCAAUCAAGGUUCUGAUGCUAAUUCUCUGUCCUUGGCAUCUGGUAAAAUUGAUCCUGUAAAGAAAGUAAAAAAUGAUGUUGGGGAAGUUGGAGUUGUUCUGUCAAAGUCCCGAGCUCGAAUAAAAACUUCAAAAAAUUUGUCCUCAGUUAAGAAGAGAAAACCUAAGGCUGAGGCUUUGGAUGGUAAAAAACCUAUGGAAUUUGACACUAAAGUGCAUUUACCACCCUUUAGGUCAAAGCAGCUCCUGGAAGAUCUAUCUAAUGGUCGUUUUGAAGCAGUGCAAGAGAAACUGAAUGAGUUGCUGGACAAUGAUGGUGGGAUAAGUAAACGAAAAGAUGCAUCAAGAGGAUACUUGAAGCUGCUACUUUUAACUGCUGCUUCAGGGGAUAGUGGCAAUGGGGAAGCAAUCCAAAGUAAUAGAGAUCUUUCCAUGAUUCUUGAUGCUCUUCUGAAAACAAAAUCGAGGACAGUGUUGGUUGAUAUCAUUAACAAAAAUGGUUUGCAGAUGCUACACAACAUUAUGAAGCGGUGCAGAAAGCAAUUCAUCAAGAUUCCGAUCCUGCGCAAGCUUCUCAAGUACAAGCUUAGGGUGGAAUGUCAGAAGAUGAGCUGUAGCCAUUUUUCACCCCAAGGAAUGCUCUGAAGGGGAGUUUACAUCACAUUCAUUCCAUAGCAAUAUUAAGAUAUUCAGAAGCACAGAAAUUAUUCUUUUUGUUUUAAUUAAUCUUUUGUUGCUAGAAUGAAUAUACACUAGUCUUUUAUUCAAGAUUAAAGCAACACAUGCUUCGUAUUUUGAAGUGUGUUAUGGCUGUGAUCUGGAGUAAGAAAUAGUGAUGCAAGUAGAGUUGGCUGAUUAUUCUUUGCUGCAGGUACUGGAAUAUCUGGCUACAAGGGAGAUUCUUACCUCUGAACAUAUAAAUGGAGGCCCGCGUUAUCCAGGAGUGGAGAGUUUUAGAGACUCAAUAUUGUCAUUGACCGAGCACACUGACAAACAGGUCCAUCAAAUUGCACGAAGUUUUCGAGAUAGGUGGAUUCCUCGGUCAUCUAGGAAAUUUGGCUGCGUACACAGGGAUGAUUGCUGGAUAGAAUUACACUGUAGUUCCACCCGUGAUACUAUAUCAGCAUCACAUGCCAAUUCAAAUGAUUGUGCUGGAGUACCUUUAGAGACAUUUGAUGGUGCUGCAAAACCAGUGCUAGCAUCAAGUUCUGUUGAUGCUCAAGUGCCAGAUGUCUCCAGUGGAUCACGCAGUACAAGGAAACGUAAAAGCCGAUGGGACCAGCCAUUCAAAGGAAGCCCAGAUUUGGGAGCUGACACUAGCAUGGCAGGCGAUGGAGCAAACAACAUGGAAGAGGAUGUUCCUCCAGGAUUUUCUUUCCCUCUGAAUCGCCCUAUGCUUCCAUCUGAUGCUUAUCUAAAUGACAUUGAUCACAAGGAAGGAAGACCUAGUUAUGCAAAGCGUUCAUAUGGAGUAGCAAUGGGCCAUUCACAACCAAGAUUCAUUUCACGUUUAUCUGUUGCUUAUGGAAUUCCUAUUUCCAUUGUGCAACAAUUUGGUUCUAGUGAAGCUGAAACAUCUGAGAAUUGGAUAGUUGCUCCCGGCAUGCCUUUCCAACCUUUUCCUCCAUUGCCUCCAUAUCCCCGUGACAAGAACAAACAUUCAAUGAGUCAGGCUAGCCAGAAAGCUGGUCAGGAUUCUCAUAAUCGUGCAACUCACUCGAGUCAAAACCCUCCAAGCACAUCCGGAGCAACUGAAACAGGCAUGCAAACUGUAACUCAAACGGAUUUUCGACGAGUUAGGGGUCCUCAUAAUUUGUCAAGGACAUACUUUAGGCAAGAAAAAUGGAAUAGUUCAACACCAGGAGGUUCUCAAAUUCAGAAGAGAAAUGUUUGGGGAUCUAUGGGUAACAAUUCAAGAAAUGGAACCUGUCAAGCAAGUCCAAGGAGUAUCCACAAUGAGUUUAACAGUUCACAUUGUUCGGAGGAUAUUAGCACCGGCAUGCAGAGUGGGGUUAAAUUCCAUCAGCAUCCAUGGUAACAAAGUAAGGACUAGUUAUAUAACGGAACUUAUGGAAUUGCUCGAGUUUCCUUUCAUGGUUCGCCCAUUGUACUCACAAUUCUUUGUCACUCAUGUUUUACUUAAGUGGAAAGAAUUCUUCAGAUAUUCAGUUUUAACAUUAGACGUUAGGCUACAGUUCUGAUUCAAUUAUACUCUAGCUUGAGUUAUCAAAUUUUAUUGCCUCAAAAGGAGGUAAACAUUUUUCAGUCUGUUCUAACUUGAAUACAUACAUUUAUUGAAUAAGAUUUGCUUAACUGGCUGGGUACCUUGCCAGAUCCUUCCUUUC